rnacentral:rRNA from 1 species
CGCCCAGACCGAUAGCGAACAAGUAGAGUGAUCGAAAGAUGAAAAGCACUUUGAAAAGAGAGUUAAACAGCACGUGAAAUUGUUGAAAGGGAAGCGCUUGCGACCAGACUCGCCCGCGGGGUUCAGCCGGCAUUCGUGCCGGUGUACUUCCCCGUGGGCGGGCCAGCGUCGGUUUGGGCGGCCGGUCAAAGGCCCCUGGAAUGUAGUACCCUCCGGGGUACCUUAUAGCCAGGG